UACGUAGGGGGCGAGCGUUGUCCGGAAUGAUUGGGCGUAAAGGGCGCGUAGGCGGCUACUUAAGUCUGGAGUGAAAGUCCUGCCUUCAAGGUGGGAAUUGCUUUGGAUACUGGGUAGCUUGAGUGCAGGAGAGGUAAGUGGAAUUCCCAGUGUAGCGGUGAAAUGCGUAGAGAUUGGGAGGAACACCAGUGGCGAAGGCGACUUACUGGACUGUAACUGACGCUGAGGCGCGAAAGUGUGGGGAGCAAAC
rnacentral:rRNA from 1 species